AUGCGGNCCACCAUGCAGUCGAACGAAGCGGUAGCAAUACCGACUGAGUGGCGGAAGGGUGCGUAACACGUAGGUGACCUACCUCAUCGCAGGGAACAACCAGUCGAAAGAUUGGCUAAUACCCAAAAGGUCCGAUGAUUCAUUUCGUCGAACAGACUCGCAAGGGGUGAUGAGAGGGGCCUGCGGCCCAUCAGCUAGUUGGUAGGGUAACGGCCUACCAAGGCAACGACGGGUAGGGGGUCUGAGGGGACGUCCCCCCACACUGGAACUGAAACACGGUCCAGACGCCUACGGGUGGCAGCAGUGAGGAAUAUUGGACAAUGGGCGAAAGCCCGAUCCAGCAACGCCGCGUGGAGGAUGAAGGCCUUCGGGUCGUAAACUCCUUUUAGGGAAGACGAGAAAGGACGGUAUUCCCGGAAUAAGCCACGGCAAACUACGUGCCAGCAGCCGCGGUAACACGUAGGUGGCGAGCGUUAUCCGGAUUCACUGGGCGUAAAGAGCUUGUAGGUGGCUGUGUAAGUUGGGUGUUAAAUCUCCAGGCUUAACUUGGAGUGGCCGCUCAAUACUGCAGGGCUUGAGGAUGUCAGAGGAAGAUGGAAUUCCCGGUGUAGUGGUGAAAUGCGUAGAUAUCGGGAGGAACACCCGUGGCGAAGGCGGUCUUCUGGGACAUUCCUGACACUGAGAAGCGAAAGCUAGGGGAGCGAACGGGAUUAGAAACCCCGGUAGUCCUAGCCGUAAACGAUGGAUGCUGGGUGCUGGCAGAUCUAACCCUGUCUGUGCCGAAGCCAACGCGUUAAGCAUCCCGCCUGGGAACUACGAUCGCAAGAUUAAAACUCAAAGGAAUUGACGGGGACCCGCACAAGCAGCGGAGCGUGUGGUUUAAUUCGUUGCUACACGAAGAACCUCACCCAGGUUUGACAUAUAGGUGGUAGUGAACCGAAAGGGGAACGACUCGCAAGGGAGCCUAUACAGGUGUUGCAUGGCUGUCGUCAGCUCGUGUCGUGAGAUGUUCGUUUAAGUACGCUAACGAGCGCAACUCUUAUUGCCAGUUACAAGUGUCUGGCGAGACUGCCGGCCACAAGCCGGAGGAAGGCGAGGAUGAUGUCAAGUCAGCAUGGCCUUUAUAUCUGGGGCUACACACACGCUACAAUGGGCAGGAACAAUGGGUCGCCAAGCCGUGAGGCGGAGCCAAUCCCUCAAAACUGUCCUCAGUUCAGAUUGCAGGCUGCAACCCGCCUGCAUGAAGUCGGAGUUGCUAGUAAACGCGCGUCAGCUAUAGUGCGUUGAAUACGUUCCCGGGUCUUGUACACACCGCCCGUCACGUCAUGGGAGCUGGCAACACCUGAAGCCGGUAGCGUAACCGCAAGGAGCGCGCUGUCAAAAGGUGGGGCUGGUGACUGGGACGAAGUCUACCANGAGUGG
rnacentral:rRNA from 1 species